CGGACGGGUGAGUAAUGUCUGGGGAACUGCCUGAUGGAGGGGGAUAACUACUGGAAACGGUAGCUAAUACCGCAUAACGUCGCAAGACCAAAGAGGGGGACCUUCGGGCCUCUUGCCAUCGGAUGUGCCCAGAUGGGAUUAGCUAGUAGGUGGGGUAACGGCUCACCUAGGCGACGAUCCCUAGCUGGUCUGAGAGGAUGGCCAGCCACACUGGAACUGAGACACGGUCCAG
rnacentral:rRNA from 1 species